UCGAAUAGCACCACUUGCAAAAGGGUUCGUCUCCGGCAACCCGCCAUUUUCUUCAUAAGCAGCCCUUAGCCGGCCGAUGAGGGCGUCGAGACUACCCCAAGCUUGCUUGAGAGGGCAAGUACAAGGACCUGGUGGCUCUGGCUGUCCAAAAAACACACAUCCUUGUAAGUGCACCUUAGUCUUGCCAAAUUGAUCCAGGUACCGAAGAAAAUCAAGAACAUGGUUGGCGUUGCAUUGAGAUAGCGCAACCGGUGGCCGCUGGUUCCUCAGGUACUGCCCGAAAGUGUUCCAAUCUCGGCGUUUCUGUGAUUCGUACCGGCUCAACGGAGGUGGGUUCUGCUGAUCAGUAGCAUUACCACCAACACCACCACCUGAUCUUGAUGAUCCUUCUGCUACAUCUUUCCCUUUGCUGCUUGACAUCACUAGAAACAGGAGAUAAUAAUUUCUAGCAGCUUAGCUUUUCUAUCUUUUUUUUAAGACUAAGAAAAG
rnacentral:misc_RNA from 1 species